CUAAGUACCCCGAGGAAAAGAAAUCAACCGAGAUUCCCCCAGUAGCGGCGAGCGAACGGGGAGCAGCCCAGAGCCUGAAUCAGUGUGUGUGUUAGUGGAAGCGUCUGGAAUGGCGUGCGAUACAGGGUGACAGCCCCGUACACAAAAAUGCACAUACUGUGAGCUCGAUGAGUAGGGCGGGACACGUGGUAUCCUGUCUGAAUAUGGGGGGACCAUCCUCC
rnacentral:rRNA from 1 species